rnacentral:lncRNA from 1 species
AAGUCUACACAUCAGGAGAAAACAACUAAAAUGGAGAUAGGAACUUGUUUUUUGGACACCUUUUGGCACCCACCAUCACAGAUUUUACAGUCUCAAUUUCUCCUGCACAGAUCCCACUGACAAAGGGUAUUACAUUUUGCUGACAUCAGUGACCUGGCAUCACGGAAUUAUUCCCUGCUUCGGUUUACAGAGGAAUAAACCAGUAAUUAAUUAUAUAUCAGAACAUGAGAAUCGACCUGGCAAUAAUGUACAGGCUAAGAACUCUAUUUACAUAUGUAGGUUAUUUAAAAUAUGUCUUGUUAAAUAAAUAUUUAAAACACUUCCUUAUUUAGCUUAUACACUGUUUGGACUGAAGCUGCAAUCCUCAUUGCAGAAUGUUCGAAAGAGUAAGAGUGUUGUCAGAGAUUUUCAUCUCUGCCUGACCUGCAAAAUCUCCUCUUUGUGCAUGGCAGGGCAUACAAAAAAUCUCUUUAAUGAAAACAACAACAUAAACUAUCUCUAUUGGCACUGACAUAAAUAAUGAAAGUAGAAAUUUCAUCCUGAGAAAAUCACAAAACUUAUUUUUAGGUUGAGGGAAGUAGAACAAGAGGCCCAGGCAUAAAUUAAUCACAAUCGACAUGACCACCUCAGAGAGAGCAGUUAAAAGUAGACAGUAAGGGAAACAAAUGAUUUCACAGAAAAAUGUUCUCCUCGCUGUUGGUCUUUUUCCCCUUGUAAAUAUCCAGAAUUGCUUUUAAAGUGGAAAUAAAAUAAAAUACAGGACUUAAGACUUUUCCGUAUCUCUCAAAUCAAUAUACAGCCACAAUUUUGAAACAACCAUAAUAAUGAGAAUACACAAGACAACUCCAAUAAUGUGGGAAGACAAACUUUGCAAUUCACAUCAUGGCCACACUAAGACUCAGUUAGGGUCCCAGAAGGUAUUCAAUGUAUUUCUGGGGGCUCAGAAAUUAGCUUUUUUUGGGAGGAUAUCUCUAUACCUGCAACGUUUGCUCCCUUCAGAAUGGAAUCCCGACCAUGACGAUUUCUGAUCCACCAGGGGGAGCAGUUCACCAGCACAAAACAAGCCUUCCCCAAAGGAAGUCGCUGAAGGCGCCU